rnacentral:rRNA from 1 species
CACGUAGGGCGCAAGCGUUGUCCGGAAUUAUUGGGCGUAAAGAGCUCGUAGGCGGCUUGUCGCGUCGAAUGUGAAAUCUCAGGGCUCAACUCUGACAUUGCAUUCGAUACGGGCAGGCUAGAGUUCGGUAGGGGAGACUGGAAUUCCUGGUGUAGCGGUGAAAUGCGCAGAUAUCAGGAGGAACACCGGUGGCGAAGGCGGGUCUCUGGGCCGAUACUGACGCUGAGGAGCGAAAGCGUGGGGAGCGAACAGG